AUGAGAACAAGGGGAGAGCCUGUCCAAAAAUUUGUGGCAGCGCCGAAGGAGCAAGCAGACUAAAUGUGAAUCUCUCAGGCAAAAAGACUCUUGUUGGACG
rnacentral:ncRNA from 2 species